rnacentral:rRNA from 1 species
UACGUAGGGUGCAAGCGUUGCCCGGAUUUAUUGGGCGUAAAGGGCGCGUAGGCGGCUCUGCACGUCCGUUGUGAAAUCGCCCGGCUCAACUGGGCGGGGUCAGCGGAUACGGCAGAGCUUGAGCAAGCUAGGGGGCAAUGGAAUUCCCGGUGUAGUGGUGGAAUGCGCAGAUAUCAGGAGGAACACCGAUGGCGAAGGCAGCUCGCUGGGACGGUACUGACGCUGAGGCGCGAAAGCGUGGGGAGCAAACAGG